UUCUUGUUUGGACGAUCUUACGUGUCAUUCCAAGAGUUUCAGUGAUUCACAAACCUGGUGAGGACUUCUGCUGAACAAACCCAGGCAGGUUGACGUCUCCUUAUUGAUGAACUGUGUCCGCCUUGGUAACUGUUGCUAACAGCAGAAGCAUGAAGGCUCUGAUCCUGGUUGGGGGCUACGGGACCCGGCUGCGACCGCUCACCCUGAGCGUCCCCAAACCGCUGGUGGAGUUCUGCAACAAACCCAUCCUGCUGCACCAGGUGGAGGCGCUGGUCAAGGCCGGUGUGGACCAUGUGGUUCUGGCUGUGAGCUACAUGUCAGAGCUGCUGGAGAGAGAGAUGAGAAUCCAGGAGCAGAGA